CCGAGUUUACGACUCCCAAACCCCUGUGAAACAUACCUAUAUGUUGCCCUCGGCGGAUCAGCCCGCGCCCCUGUAAAACGGGACGGCCCGCCGCAGGAUCCACAAACUCUGUUUUUAUUGUAACUUCUGAGUAACAAAACAAAUAAAUCA
rnacentral:misc_RNA from 1 species